GACGAACGCUGGCGGCGUGCCUAAUACAUGCAAGUCGACCUUAGUGGCGAACGGGUGAGUAACACGUGGGUAACCUGCCCAUCAGAAGGGGAUAACACUUGGAAACAGGUGCUAAUACCGCAUACUGAUGGAUGGACCCGCGGUGCAUUAGCUAGUUGGUGAGGUAACGGCUCACCAAGGCCACGAUGCAUAGCCGACCUGAGAGGGUGAUCGGCCACAUUGGGACUGAGACACGGCCCAGACUCCUACGGGAGGCAGCAGUAGGGAAGCUUCGGCAAUGGACGAAAGUCUGACCGAGCAACGCCGCGUGAGUGAAGAAGGUUUUCGGAUCGUAAAACUCUGUUGUUAGAGAAGCGGUAUCUAACCAGAAAGCCACGGCUAACUACGUGCCAGCAGCCGCGGUAAUAC
rnacentral:rRNA from 1 species